GACGAACGCUGGCGGCGUGCCUAAUACAUGCAAGUCGAACGCACUCUCGUUUAGAUUGCAGGCGUUUGCUCCUGAUUGCUAAACAUUUGAGUGAGUGGCGGACGGGUGAGUAACACGUGGGUAACCUGCCCUAAAGUGGGGGAUAACAUUUGGAAACAGAUGCUAAUACCGCAUAAAACCUAACACCGCAUGGUGUAGGGUUGAAAGAUGGUUCGGCUAUCACUUUAGGAUGGACCCGCGGUGCAUUAGUUAGUUGGUGAGGUAAAGGCUCACCAAGACCGUGAUGCAUAGCCGACCUGAGAGGGUAAUCGGCCACACUGGGACUGAGACACGGCCCAGACUCCUACGGGAGGCAGCAGUAGGGAAUCUUCCACAAUGGACGAAAGUCUGAUGGAGCAACGCCGCGUGAGUGAAGAAGGUUUUCGGAUCGUAAAACUCUGUUGUUGGAGAAGAAUGUAUCUGAUAGUAACUGAUCAGGUAGUGACGGUAUCCAACCAGAAAGCCACGGCUAACUACGUG
rnacentral:rRNA from 1 species